GACGAACGCUGGCGGCGUGCUUAACACAUGCAAGUCGAACGAAGAGCGCUGGCAUCUUGCUUCUAUCCAUCUUAGUGGCGAACGGGUGAGUAACGCGUAAUCAACCUGCCCUUCAGAGGGGGACACCAGUUGGAAACGACUACUCAUACCGCAUACUCUCUAAUCUCGGCAUCGAGGAUAGAUGAACGGUGGCCUCUACAUGUAACCUAUCACUUCAGCAGGUGAUUGCGUUUGUUUAGCUCGUUGGCGGGGUAACGACCCCCCGAGGCGAGGAUCAGUAGCCGGUCUGAGAGGAUGAACGGCCACAUUGGGACUGAGACACGGCCCAGACUGCUACGGGAGGCAGCAGGGGGGAAUCUUCAGGAAUGGACGAAAGUCUGACGGAGCAACGCCGCGUGAGUGAUGACGGCCGUCGGGUUGGAAAGCUCUGUUAAUCGGGACGAAAGGCCUUCUUGCGAAUAGUGAGAAGGAUUGACGGUACCGGAAGAGAAAGCCACGGCUAACUACGUG
rnacentral:rRNA from 1 species